CUGAGUACGACGGAGCACGUGAAAUUCCGUCGGAAUCUGGGAGGACCAUCUCCUAAGGCUAAAUACUCUCUAGUGACCGAUAGUGAACCAGUACCGUGAGGGAAAGGUGAAAAGCACCCCGGAAGGGGAGUGAAAUAGAACCUGAAACCGUGUGCUUACAAGUAGUCAGAGCCCGUUAAUGGGUGAUGGCGUGCCUUUUGUAGAAUGAACCGGCGAGUUACGAUUUGAUGCAAGGUUAAGCAGUAAAUGUGGAGCCGUAGCGAAAGCGAGUCUGAAUAGGGCGUUUAGUAUUUGGUCGUAGACCCGAAACCAGGUGAUCUACCCUUGGUCAGGUUGAAGUUCAGGUAACACUGAAUGGAGGACCGAACCGACUUACGUUGAAAAGUGAGCGGAUGAACUGAGGGUAGCGGAGAAAUUCCAAUCGAACCUGGAGAUAGCUGGUUCUCUCCGAAAUAGCUUUAGGGCUAGCCUCAAGUGAUGAUUAUUGGAGGUAGAGCACUGUUUGGACGAGGGGCCCCUCUCGGGUUACCGAAUUCAGACAAACUCCGAAUGCCAAUUAAUUUAACUUGGGAGUCAGAACAUGGGUGAUAAGGUCCGUGUUCGAAAGGGAAACAGCCCAGACCACCAGCUAAGGUCCCAAAAUAUAUGUUAAGUGGAAAAGGAUGUGGCGUUGCCCAGACAACUAGGAUGUUGGCUUAGAAGCAGCCAUCAUUUAAAGAGUGCGUAAUAGCUCACUAGUCGAGUGACACUGCGCCGAAAAUGUACCGGGGCUAAACAUAUUACCGAAGCUGUGGAUUGUCCUUUGGACAAUGGUAGGAGAGCGUUCUAAGGGCGUUGAAGCAUGAUCGUAAGGACAUGUGGAGCGCUUAGAAGUGAGAAUGCCGGUGUGAGUAGCGAAAGACGGGUGAGAAUCCCGUCCACCGAUUGACUAAGGUUUCCAGAGGAAGGCUCGUCCGCUCUGGGUUAGUCGGGUCCUAAGCUGAGGCCGACAGGCGUAGGCGAUGGAUAACAGGUUGAUAUUCCUGUACCACCUAUAAUCGUUUUAAUCGAUGGGGGGACGCAGUAGGAUAGGCGAAGCGUGCGAUUGGAUUGCACGUCUAAGCAGUAAGGCUGAGUAUUAGGCAAAUCCGGUACUCGUUAAGGCUGAGCUGUGAUGGGGAGAAGACAUUGUGUCUUCGAGUCGUUGAUUUCACACUGCCGAGAAAAGCCUCUAGAUAGAAAAUAGGUGCCCGUACCGCAAACCGACACAGGUAGUCAAGAUGAGAAUUCUAAGGUGAGCGAGCGAACUCUCGUUAAGGAACUCGGCAAAAUGACCCCGUAACUUCGGGAGAAGGGGUGCUCUUUAGGGUUAACGCCCAGAAGAGCCGCAGUGAAUAGGCCCAAGCGACUGUUUAUCAAAAACACAGGUCUCUGCUAAACCGUAAGGUGAUGUAUAGGGGCUGACGCCUGCCCGGUGCUGGAAGGUUAAGAGGAGUGGUUAGCUUCUGCGAAGCUACGAAUCGAAGCCCCAGUAAACGGCGGCCGUAACUAUAACGGUCCUAAGGUAGCGAAAUUCCUUGUCGGGUAAGUUCCGACCCGCACGAAAGGCGUAACGAUUUGGGCACUGUCUCAACGAGAGACUCGGUGAAAUCAUAGUACCUGUGAAGA
rnacentral:rRNA from 1 species